rnacentral:rRNA from 1 species
UACGUAGGGUGCAAGCGUUAAACGGAAUUACUGGGCGUAAAGCGUGCGCAGGCGGUUGUGUAAGACAGAUGUGAAAUCCCCGGGCUCAACCUGGGAACUGCAUUUGUGACUGCACGGCUGGAGUGCGGCAGAGGGGGAUGGAAUUCCGCGUGUAGCAGUGAAAUGCGUAGAUAUGCGGAGGAACACCGAUGGCGAAGGCAAUCCCCUGGGCCUGCACUGACGCUCAUGCACGAAAGCGUGGGGAGCAAACAGG